rnacentral:tRNA from 1 species
AAUAAAAUGGCUGAAGUGAAGGCGAUAAAUUGUAAAUUUAUUUAUGAAUUAAGAAUUCUUUUAUUA